GACCCCGUAGCUCAACCGGAUAGAGCAUCCGCCUUCUAAGCGGACGGUUGCUGGUUCGAAUCCAGCCGGGGUCGCCA
rnacentral:tRNA from 1 species